rnacentral:lncRNA from 1 species
GAUGCUACACAGAUAGGAGUGGAACUAUGUAGAAUAGAUAUUAGUUAUUUUUUGUAAGAUAUUAGUAAAAUAGAUUAAUAGUCCAUAGAAUAGUUAGUUCAGGAGGACAGAUGGUUAAAUUAGUUAUUAAAAGUGAUUAUUAUAGGAUUACGGUUAGGAUCUGGAAAUCAGUAGCAAUUAUAUAGGAAUUGUAGAAGUUUGUUGGGGUGCUAGACUGUGAUAGUCAUGAGCUGGGAUUAAGCUUGGUGCUACUUCUCUGUUUCUUUGUUUUCUUUGUUGUUGAAGAAUAAUGGAUAGUUUUUUGAAUAUUGCGAAGUGAGUCUGUGGAAUAAAUGAG